rnacentral:rRNA from 1 species
UGGUGUGGUAACGGCUCACCAAGGCGACGAUGUCUAGGGGCUCUGAGAGGAGAAUCCCCCACACUGGUACUGAGACACGGACCAGACUCCUACGGGAGGCAGCAGUAAGGAAUAUUGGUCAAUGGAGGGAACUCUGAACCAGCCAUGCCGCGUGCAGGAAGACGGCCCUACGGGUUGUAAACUGCUUUUGUACGGGAAUAACCGCCGGUAUGUAUACCGGUCUGAAUGUACCGUAAGAAUAAGGAUCGGCUAACUCCGUGCCAGCAGCCGCGGUAAUACGGAGGAUCCGAGCGUUAUCCGGAAUUAUUGGGUUUAAAGGGUGCGUAGGCGGGCAGCUAAGUCAGUGGUGAAAUACGGUGGCUCAACCAUCGCAGUGCCGUUGAUACUGGUUUUCUUGAAUCUACUUGAGGUAGGCGGAAUGUGGCAAGUAGCGGUGAAAUGCAUAGAUAUGCCACAGAACACCGAUUGCGAAGGCAGCUUACCAAGGUACGAUUGACGCUGAGGCACGAAAGCGUGGGGAUCGAACAGGAUUAGAUACCCUGGUAGUCCACGCCCUAAACGAUGAACACUCGAUGUCGGCGAUAGACAGUCGGCGUCCAAGCGAAAGCGUUAAGUGUCCAC